GCGUGGACGCCAGUCUGCGUGGAGCCGACCUUGAAAUACCACCCUUUAAUGUUUGAUGUUCUAACGUGGAUCCGUAAUCCGGGUUGCGGACAGUGUCUGGUGGGUAGUUUGACUGGGGCGGUCUCCUCCUAAAGAGUAACGGAGGAGCACGAAGGUUGGCUAAUCCUGGUCGGACAUCAGGAGGUUAGUGCAAUGGCAUAAGCCAGCUUGACUGCGAGCGUGACGGCGCGAGCAGGUGCGAAAGCAGGUCAUAGUGAUCCGGUGGUUCUGAAUGGAAGGGCCAUCGCUCAACGGAUAAAAGGUACUCCGGGGAUAACAGGCUGAUACCGCCCAAGAGUUCAUAUCGACGGCGGUGUUUGGCACCUCGAUGUCGGCUCAUCACAUCCUGGGGCUGAAGUAGGUCCCAAGGGUAUGGCUGUUCGCCAUUUAAAGUGGUACGCGAGCUGGGUUUAGAACGUCGUGAGACAGUUCGGUCCCUAUCUGCCGUGGGCGCUGGAGAACUGAGGGGGGCUGCUCCUAGUACGAGAGGACCGGAGUGGACGCAUCACUGGUGUUCGGGUUGUCAUGCCAAUGGCACUGCCCGGUAGCUAAAUGCGGAAGAGAUAAGUGCUGAAAGCAUCUAAGCACGAAACUUGCCCCGA
rnacentral:rRNA from 3 species